rnacentral:rRNA from 1 species
CUACGGGGGCACCAGCUGAGGAAAUUUUACAAUGCUCGAAAGAGUGAUAAAAUAAACCAGAGUGUUUUUCUUAGAAAAACUUUUGUCUGCUGUAAAAAGGCAGAAGAAUAAGGACUGGGCAAGACCGGUGCCAGCCGCCGCGGUAAUACCGGCGGUCCAAGUCGCAUCCACAUUUAUUGGGCCUAAAACAUUCGUAGCUUGUUUUGUAAGUCUCCUGUGAAAUCCUAUGUCUCAAACAUGGGGCGUGCAAGAGAUACUGCACUACUAGAGACCGGAAGACGCAAAGAGUACAAUUAAGGUAGCGGUAAAAUGUGUUAAUCUUAAUUGGACUAACAAUGGCGAAGGCACUUUGCGAGUACGGAUCUGACAGUGAGGGAUGAAGGCUAGGGGCGCAAAAGGGAUUAGAUACCCCCGUAGUC